rnacentral:misc_RNA from 1 species
GUCACCGGACUCAGCAAAAGGGUUACGCAAGUUUGGUUUCAGAAUUCGAGGGCGAGGCAGAAGAAGCAUCUCCACACGGGAAAGCUCAAGGGUCAGCAUGUUCACCAGUCACCCCCGAAUUCCGGAUCCCCAGCCGCCGGCGAUUUCGGGAGACACAUCAACCUUCAUUUGACCUACUCUUUCCAACAUCAACAACAUCAGCAUAAUCAACAGCCACAACUGAGCCCUGCUGCAUGCAAAAGUCCUACACAGUCACUUUAUCACAAUCACG